rnacentral:rRNA from 1 species
CAGCAGCCGCCGCGGUAAUACCGAGGGUGCGAGCGUUAAUCGGAUUUACUGGGCGUAAAGCGUGCGUAGGCGGCUUUUUAAGUCGGAUGUGAAAUCCCUGAGCUUAACUUAGGAAUUGCAUUCGAUACUGGGAAGCUAGAGUAUGGGAGAGGAUGGUAGAAUUCCAGGUGUAGCGGUGAAAUGCGUAGAGAUCUGGAGGAAUACCGAUGGCGAAGGCAGCCAUCUGGCCUAAUACUGACGCUGAGGUACGAAAGCAUGGGGAGCAAACAGGAUUAGAUACCCCUGUAGUCCCUGUCUCUUAUAC